UACGUAGGGGGCUAGCGUUGUCCGGAAUCAUUGGGCGUAAAGCGCGCGUAGGCGGCCAGAUAAGUCCGGUGUGAAAGUCAAAGGCUCAACCUUUGAAUGCCGCUGGAAACUGUCUGGCUUGAGUCCGGGAGGGGCGAGUGGAAUUCCUGGUGUAGCGGUGAAAUGCGCAGAUAUCGUCAAGAACACCGAUAGUGAAGACAGCUUACUAGACUUCAACUGACGCUGAGGCACGAAAGUGUGGGGAUCAAACAGG
rnacentral:rRNA from 1 species